UGUGUAAUGCUUGACUUAUUUUUAUUUAUUUUUUCUUCCUUUUACAUUCUCAGAUAUUAUUGUACAUAGUGUUAUUUAUUUAUUUAUUUGUUUGUUUUAUACCAUUAAUGUAAUGUUUGUAUUCUUUUUCUUUUGAGUACUGAUUUCCAUCUAGUCUUGAGUGCAAAGUUUAGCUCCAGCCCCAAUCAUGUACAGCUGAACCAGCUGAUCAGGGUCUUCAGGAUUACCACAGACUUCCAAGCAGGCGUGUGGACAGGUUGGAGCUGAACUCUGUCAGAUGUUGGUUCAGGAAGUGAUCCUGCAUCUCUUCUUAAAGAGCCACCAGGUUGCUGCUUUAAAGCUGCACAUUCAUGCAUCAAGUUAAAAUGAUGGAACAAAAAGCAGGCUGGCCACAGCAUCUGAAAUGGAAACAUCUAUUAAAAUGCCUCUGCAGUAUAAGACACUUGGGAUGGUGGAAAGAGCAGAAGAACAGCGAUCAGGCAGAGUUCUACUGUUGCCCCUUAGGGAACUGAUUUAUAAUCUACUUAACGUUCUGAUUUAGUAAUAAUUGAUCAUUGCUCUGUCCUAUAAAAUUAUUUAAUACAUUCCACUGUUCAGUAGUUUGGGGUCAGUAUUUUA